GGUUUAUGCAAAUUCUUAUUAGGUGUAAAAUUUAUGAAAUAAAAAGCCUAAUGAACCAAAUAAAUAUAAUUCAACUAGCAAACAAGUGUACUUCAUGCAGUGAGAUCUAAAUUUGUGUACCAACUAAGCCUACCCAUGUGUAUCUAGCUGCAUGGCAUACCACACACCGAAGGUACCAUAUUUCAAGUAACUAUGGGGUGAAAUAAAAUAUUACAGAGCACAUACUCUUCAGUUAUCACAUCUCCU
rnacentral:misc_RNA from 1 species